rnacentral:tRNA from 1 species
CAGGUUAAGCAAGCAGCCCGGCUAGCUCAGUCGGUAGAGCAUGAUACUCUUAAUCUCAGGGUCGUGGGUUCGAGCCCCACGCUGGGCGCAGCUUUUGUUAAGCUGGUAAGGGAGUUCAGAUUCUUCCCUGAUUCACAGAAUCCUAGCCACACCCAUCUACAGAGGGGGCUACUGGUAAAGAGUCCGCCUGCCAAUGCAGGAGACGUAGAGACGCAGUCUCGAUCCUUGUGUCAGGAAGAUCCUCUGCCGGGAGAAUCCCAUGGACAAAGGAGCCUGGCGGGCUACAUCCCAUAGGGUUGCAGAGUCAGAUACAACUGAGACGACUUAGCACGCACACACGUUUCCCAGGUUGUGGUUAUUUGUUCGGGCAGCCACAGCUGAAGGACCACAGAGAGACCCACAGAGGGGUGCCGGGGUUCAGCCUCGGCAGGAUCCAGGGGUACCCUCAGGAUGAACGGCGUCGGCGAGAGAAGACGCGUGAGACCAGCCUUUGUGAAGCCAAGUCUAUCUUUUACUUUUUGACAACAGUUUAUAUACCCUCACUCAGAAUGUAUCCAAGGUACGAGAUGAUUACUCAUGCUUACAUAGGGUUAGUUUAACAUUACAUCAGUUUGUCCUUUAGGAAAAACAGGAUGUUUUCUGCAUUCUAUUUCUAUAGUAGAUCUUUGCACAUUAUCUUCUGGCCUUGGUGCCUAUUGACAUUUUAUGCAAGUCAGGUGAAUGUAAACCUAUUUUUCGUUUCUGUGGUGAUCUUAACAGAAAAGUUGCAUGCCGGGGUCCAGCCUCGGCAGGAUCCAGGGGAUACCCUCAGGAUGAACGGCGUCGGUGAGAGAGAGAGAGAAGACACGUGAGACCAGCCUUGGUAGGGCCAAGUCCGCAAGGAAGAGAGAGAGAAAGAGAGAGAGAGAGAGAGAGAAUGACCAGACGGGGGUGUUUGCAGGGUCUGGCAGAGUCUGGAAGAGUCUGGCAAUCCUUUAUUUUUUACCAUAGCUUUUAUACCCUAAGUUAGUACAUUUCUAAGGGGAAGAUAGUUUAACAUUACAUCAGCUUGUUCUUCGUGAAACCAGGGUGUUUUCUGCACGCUUCUUUGUUUAUGAGGGUCUUGUACAUUAUCUUCUGGCCUUGGGGCCUAUUAACAUUUUAUGCAAGUCAGGUGAAUGUAAACCUAUUUUCUGUUUCUAAGGUGACUUUAACUGAAAGGUAGCAGUCUCAUAGGGCAACAGUACAGAGUAGAAGUAUAACCUUGUUAAUACAAAAAUUAAUCCUUCUGCAGAAGUUGUCAGUUGCGUUUAUCUAAGUUUACCCCACACUGACUCUGCGACAUUGGUGAGACAGCUUCUACCUAGCACUCCUGGCUGACAAUUAACAACCAUUUCAUUGUUACCACACUAGGGCUAAGUUCUUAUUUCUUUAGAUCUUUAACUAUAUUAACAAUGGUUUCUAUAACACAACCUUAGCACAUUAAAAGCAAAAACACAGCAAGUAAAACACAGCAAACGUCAACCCAAUAACCACCUUUAAAAUAAUUUUUUUAAUGUUUUCUAAUAGGACUCCUUCACCCCUCAAAAAUGCUCUAUGUCUAUUAGGGCUUUUAUAUAAUCAGGUUCUUUAUGCUAUUUUAUGAUUAGGAUAUUAUAAGCAAUCAUGCAUAUUAGUACCAAGGGCAUAAAUGCAUUUGGCUAACAAACUACCAGCAAAGGAGUUUAAAUUAAAACACUCCUUUCACCCUGGAUAAUUUCAUAAAAUACCACCACCCGGGAAACUUAUUGAUUAAAGUUCUAAAUUGAUUCUUAUUUGAAAAGAGAUCGGGGAAGGCCUUCUGCCUGUGACACAGAAAUUAGGGAGUAGUCUACUGAAGCAAGCAUCAAAAAGACAGAUAUCAUCUUUAAGGUGAGCGCGGGGCAGUUUUUCGGAAUCCCUGAAAACCUGAUCCGCCUUGCCCGUCAGGUUUUCUCCCUCAUGACCUUGUCAUGGGUGGGAUCUCGUCCGGCUCCCUGCAGUUGCAGUCUCAUAGGGCAACAGUACAGCAUGUCACAACAUAGUAGAAAUAUAACCUUGUCAACACAAAGGUCAAUUCUUCUGCAGAAGCUGUCAGUUGAAUUUAUCUAAGAGGUUUACCCCACACAGAUUCUGUGGCUGGCUUCGGUGAGGCAGCCCCUGCCUAGCACUCCUGGCUAAUAAUUAACAACCAUCUCAUUGUUACCACACUAGGGCUAAGCUCUUAUUUUUCUAAAUCUUUAACUAUAUUAACAAUGGUUUCCACUGCAUAACCUUAGCACAUUAAGAGCAAAAAUACAGCAAGCAAACGUUGACGCAAUAACCACUUUUAGAAUAAUUUUUCUUGUGUUUUCUAAUAGGGUUUCCUCACCCCCCGAAGGGCUCUAUGCCUAUUAGGGCCUUUGUGUGAUCACGUUCUUUAUGCUGUUUUAUGAUUAGGGUAUUAUGAGCAGUCAUGCAUAUUAGUACCAAGGACAUAAAUGCAUUUGCCAAACAAACUAAAAUGCCAGCAAAGGAGUUUAAAUUGAAACACUCCUUUCAUCCUGGAUAAUCUCAUAAGAUACCACCACCCGGGAGACAUAUUGAUUAAAGUUCUAAGUUGAUUCUUAUUUGAAAAGAGAUCGGGGAAGGCCUUCUGCCUGUGCCACAGAAAUUAGGGAGUAGUCUAUUAAAGCAAGCAUCAGAAAGACAGAUACCAUCUUUAAGGUGAGCACCGGGGGCAGCUUUUCGAAAUCCCUGGAAUCCUGAUCCGCCUUGCUUGUCAGGUUUUCUCCUCGUGACCUUGUCAUGGGUGGGAUCUUGUGUGCUGGCUCCCAGCAGAGG